CAUAACCCCGGGACACUGGGUAUAAUACCCGAUAGGUCUCGAUUGCUGGAAUGCAUCGAGAUUUAAAGCUCCGGCGCCUAAGGAUGGGUCUGCGGCCUAUCAGGUAGUAGUGGGUGUAGCGUACCUACUAGCCUACGACGGGUACGGGUUGUGAGAGCAAGAGCCCGGAGAUGGAUUCUGAGACACGAAUCCAGGCCCUACGGGGUGCAGCAAGCGCGAAAACUUUACAAUGCUGGCAACAGCGAUAAGGGAACCUCGAGUGCCAGGUUACAAAUCUGGCUGUCGAGAUGCCUAAAAAGCAUUUCAUAGCAAGGGCCGGGCAAGACCGGUGCCAGCCGCCGCGGUAACACCGGCGGCUCGAGUGGUAACCGUUAUUAUUGGGUCUAAAGGGUCUGUAGCCGGCCGGAUAAGUCUCUUGAGAAAUCUGGCAGCUUAACUGUCAGGCUUUCAGGAGAUACUGUCUGGCUCGAGGCCGGGAGAGGUGAGAGGUACUUCAGGGGUAGGGGUGAAAUCUUGUAAUCCUUGAAGGACCACCAGUGGCGAAGGCGUCUCACCAGAACGGACCUGACGGCAAGGGACGAAAGCUAGGGGCACGAACCGGAUUAGAUACCCGGGUAGUCCUAGCCGUAAACGAUACUCGCUAGGUGUCGGCCACGGUGCGACCGUUGUCGGUGCCGUACGGAAGCCGUGAAGCGAGCCACCUGGGAAGUACGGCCGCAAGGCUGAAACUUAAAGGAAUUGGCGGGGGAGCACCACAACGGGUGGAGCUUGCGGUUUAAUUGGAUUCAACGCCGGAAAUCUUACCGGGACCGACAGCAAUAUGAAGGGCCAGGCUGAAGACUAUGCCGGAUUAGCUGAGAGGUGGUGCAU
rnacentral:rRNA from 1 species